rnacentral:rRNA from 1 species
AUUGAACGCUGGCGGCAUGCCUUACACAUGCAAGUCGAACGGCAGCACGGGAGCAAUCCUGGUGGCGAGUGGCGAACGGGUGAGUAAAGUAUCGGAACGUGCCCAGUCGUGGGGGAUAACGUAGCGAAAGUUACGCUAAUACCGCAUACGAUCUAUGGAUGAAAGCGGGGGAUCGCAAGACCUCGCGCGAUUGGAGCGUCCGAUAUCAGAUUAGGUAGUUGGUGGGGUAAAGGCUCACCAAGCCGACGAUCUGUAGCUGGUCUGAGAGGACGACCAGCCACACUGGGACUGAGACACGGCCCAGACUCCUACGGGAGGUAGCAGUGGGGAAUUUUGGACAAUGGGCGCAAGCCUGAUCCAGCCAUGCCGCGUGCAGGAUGAAGGCCUUCGGGUUGUAAACUGCUUUUGUACGGAACGAAAAGGUUUGGCUUAAUACGUUGAACUCAUGACGGUACCGUAAGAAUAAGCACCGGCUAACUACGUGCCAGCCGCCGCCGUAA